rnacentral:sRNA from 1 species
AGCUGUGACAUCUGCUGCUGCUGUGGCUGCGGCUGCUGUAGCUGUGGAAUCUGCUGCUGCUGCUGCUGCUGCUGCUGCUGUAGCU